rnacentral:rRNA from 1 species
AUUGAACGCUGGCGGCAGGCCUAACACAUGCAAGUCGAACGAGUGGCGGACGGGUGAGUAAUGUCUGGGAAACUGCCUGAUGGAGGGGGAUAACUACUGGAAACGGUAGCUAAUACCGCAUACCAUCGGAUGUGCCCAGAUGGGAUUAGAUAGUAGGUGGGGUAAAGGCUCCCCUAGGCGACGAUCCCUAGCUGGUCUGAGAGGAUGACCAGCCACACUGGAACUGCGACACGAUCCAGACUCAUACGGGCGGCAGCAGUGGGGAAUAUUGCAAAAUGGGCGAAAACCUUAUGCAGCCACGCCUGGUUGAUGAAGAAGGCCGUCGGGUUGUAAAGUACUUUCAGCGGGGAGGCGUUACCCGCAGAAGAAGCACCGGCUAACUCCGUGCCAGCAGCCGCGGUAAUAC